AGCUCUCCGAGUGGUGUGGAUGUUAUGGGCCUAAAGCAUCCGUAGCUGGCUAAGUUAGUCCCCUGUUAAAUCCACCGAAUUAAUCGUUGGAUUGCGGGGGAUACUGCUUGACUAGGGGACGAGAGAGGCAGACGGUAUUUCCGGGGUAGGGGUGAAAUCCUAUAAUCCCGGGAAGACCACCAGUGGCGAAGGCUGUCUGCUAGAACGCGCCCGACGGUGAGGGAUGAAAGCUGGGGGAGCGAACCGGAUUAGAUACCCGGGUAGUCCCAGCUGUAAACGAUGCAGACUAGGUGUUUGAACGGCCACGUGCCGUUCUAGUGCCGCAGGGAAGCUGUUAAGUCUGCCGCCUGGGGAGUACGAUCGCAAGAUUGAAACUUAAAGGAAUUGGCGGGGGAGCACCACAAGGGGUGAAGCUUGCGGUUUAAUUGGAGUCAACGCCGGAAAUCUCACCGGGAGCGACAGCAGAGUGAAGGCCAGAUUAAAGGUCUUGCCAGACAAGCUGAGAGGUGGUGCAUGG
rnacentral:rRNA from 1 species